GAUGAACGCUGGCGGCGUGCCUAAUACAUGCCAGUCGAGCGAACGGACGAGAAGCUUGCUUUUCUGAUGUUAGCGGCGGACGGGUGAGUAACACGUGGAUAACCUACCUAUAAGACUGGGAUAACUUCGGGAAACCGGAGCUAAUACCGGAUAAUAUUUUGAACCGCAUGGUUCAAAAGUGAAAGACGGUCUUGCUGUCACUUAUAGAUGGAUCCGCGCUGCAUUAGCUAGUUGGUAAGGUAACGGCUUACCAAGGCAACGAUGCAUAGCCGACCUGAGAGGGUGAUCGGCCACCCUGGAACUGAGACACGGUCCAGACUCCUACGGGAGGCAGCAGUAGGGAAUCUUCCGCAAUGGGCGAAAGCCUGACGGAGCAACGCCGCGUGAGUGAUGAAGGUCUUCGGAUCGUAAAACUCUGUUAUUAGGGAAGAACAUAUGUGUAAGUAACUGUGCACAUCUUGACGGUACCUAAUCAGAAAGCCACGGCUAACUACGUG
rnacentral:rRNA from 1 species